UACGGAGGGGGCUAGCGUUGUUCGGAAUUACUGGGCGUAAAACGCACGUAGGCGGCUUUGUAAGUCAGGGGUGAAAUCCUGGAGCUCAACUCCAGAACUGCCUUUGAUACUGAGGAUCUUGAGUCCGGGAGAGGUGAGUGGAACUGCGAGUGUAGAGGUGAAAUUCGUAGAUAUUCGCAAGAACACCAGUGGCGAAGGCGGCUCACUGGCCCGGUACUGACGCUGAGGUGCGAAAGCGUGGGGAGCAAACAGG
rnacentral:rRNA from 1 species